rnacentral:rRNA from 1 species
UGGGGAAUAUUGCACAAUGGGCGCAAGCCUGAUGCAGCCAUGCCGCGUGUGUGAAGAAGGCCUUCGGGUUGUAAACACUUUCAGCGAGGAGGAAGGUGGUGAACUUAAUACGUUCAUCAAUUGACGUUACUCGCAGAAGAAGCACCGGCUAACUCCGUGCCAGCAGCCGCGGUAAUACGGAGGGUGCAAGCGUUAAUCGGAAUUACUGGGCGUAAAGCGCACGCAGGCGGUUUGUUAAGUCAGAUGUGAAAUCCCCGGGCUCAACCUGGGAACUGCAUUUGAAACUGGCAAGCUAGAGUCUCGUAGAGGGGGGUAGAAUUCCAGGUGUAGCGGUGAAAUGCGUAGAGAUCUGGAGGAAUACCGGUGGCGAAGGCGGCCCCCUGGACGAAGACUGACGCUCAGGUGCGAAAGCGUGGGGAGCAAACAGGAUUAGAUACCCCUGGUAGUCCACGCUGUAAAACGAUGUCGAUUUUGGAGGUUGUGCCCUUGAGGCGUGGCUUCCGGAGCUAACGCGUUAAAUCGACCGCCUGGGGAGUACGGCCGCAAGGUUAAAACUCAAAGGAAUUGACGGGGUC